rnacentral:rRNA from 1 species
GACGUAGGUGGCAAGCGUUGUCCGGAAUUAUUGGGCGUAAAGCGCGCGCAGGCGGUCCUUUAAGUCUGAUGUGAAAGCCCACGGCUCAACCGUGGAGGGUCAUUGGAAACUGGGGGACUUGAGUACAGAAGAGGAAAGCGGAAUUCCACGUGUAGCGGUGAAAUGCGUAGAGAUGUGGAGGAACACCAGUGGCGAAGGCGGCUUUCUGGUCUGUAACUGACGCUGAGGCGCGAAAGCGUGGGGAGCAAACAGG